rnacentral:rRNA from 1 species
UACGGAGGGUGCAAGCGCUAUCCGGAAUUACUGGGUUUAAAGGGUGCGUAGGCGGCUGUAUAAGUCAGAGGUGAAAGGUUGUCGCUUAACGAUAGAAUUGCCUUUGAUACUGUAUAGCUUGAAACUAUGUGAGGUUGGCGGAAUGUGACAUGUAGCGGUGAAAUGCAUAGAUAUGUCAUAGAACACCGAUUGCGAAGGCAGCUGGCUAACCUAAGUUUGACGCUGAGGCCCGAAAGCGUGGGUAUCAAACAGG